AUUUGAUCCUGGCUCAGGAUCGAACGCUGGCGGCGUGCUUAACACAUGCAAGUCGAGCGGUAAGGCCCUUUCGGGUACACGAGCGGCGAACGGGUGAGUAACACGUGGGUGAUCUGCCUCGUACUUCGGGAUAAGCCUGGGAAACUGGGUCUAAUACCGGAUAUGACCUCUGGUUGCAUGACCAGGGGUGGAAAGAUUUAUCGGUACGAGAUGGGCCCGCGGCCUAUCAAGCUUGUUGGUGGGGUAAUGGCCUACCAAGGCGACGACGGGUAGCCGGCCUGAGAGGGCGACCGGCCACACUGGGACUGAGACACGGCCCAGACUCCUACGGGAGGCAGCAGUGGGGAAUAUUGCACAAUGGGCGAAAGCCUGAUGCAGCGACGCCGCGUGAGGGAUGACGGCCUU
rnacentral:rRNA from 1 species